rnacentral:lncRNA from 1 species
AGUUCACUCCAAAUGGUCCCCCCUCCACGUCAUUUGAUUCCCAACGAUUUUUGUUAGAAGGAACUCGAAUAUUCUCUCCUACAUCGCACGAUUUCUGUACAAAAAGGACGAUUUGUUGGAUGAAUGAGAGUCGUGGAUAGAUAUGAAUCAAUCCACGCCCUCCAUUUGUCCCAAAAAAUUUCAAAAAAAAACUGAAGAUUUUCAAAGUUUUUACCAGAUUUUCGAGAAUUUUCGAAGGCUAUAUAUAAGGUAAGUUCAGUGUGUUAAGGGAGAAAAAAAUCGGAAAAAGAUCUUCAGAAAAAAUUUAGUAGUAAAUUUCUAGGGUUAUGAAGUUUUUCUUCUUCUGAGGCCUUCUCUUUUCUGAUUCGACACCCU